rnacentral:rRNA from 1 species
GAUGAACGCUGGCGGCGUGCUUAACACAUGCAAGUCGAACGGAAAGGCCCAAGCUUGCUUGGGUACUCGAGUGGCGAACGGGUGAGUAACACGUGGGUGAUCUGCCCUGCACUUCGGGAUAAGCCUGGGAAACUGGGUCUAAUACCGGAUAGGACCACAUUUUGGAUGGUGUGGUGGAAAGUUUUUCGGUGUGGGAUGAGCUUGCGGCCUAUCAGCUUGUUGGUGGGGUAAUGGCCUACCAAGGCGUCGACGGGUAGCCGGCCUGAGAGGGUGUACGGCCACAUUGGGACUGAGAUACGGCCCAGACUCCUACGGGAGGCAGCAGUGGGGAAUAUUGCACAAUGGGCGCAAGCCUGAUGCAGCGACGCCGCGUGGGGGAUGACGGCCUUCGGGUUGUAAACUCCUUUCGCUAGGGACGAAGCGCAAGUGACGGUACCUGGAGAAGAAGCACCGGCUAACUACGUG